AAACUUAGGAUAACACCCGCCUAAACCGAAG
rnacentral:tRNA from 1 species